ACGACUCUCAGCAACGGAUAUCUUGGCUCUUGCAAUGAUGAAGAACAUAGUGAAAUGUGAUACGUAGUGUGAAUUGCAGAAUUUUGCGAAUCAUUGAGUCUUUGAAUGCAAGUUGUGCCCGUGGCUCGUCCAAGGGCAUGCCUUCCUGAGCGUUCC
rnacentral:rRNA from 1 species